GGCAUGGUGGCUUAGUGGUUUGCGUCUUACCUCUGUGGUUGAAGGUUCGAAUCCUGCCUCUGCCC